AAAGGUGUUAUUAAAAAUAAUACAUUCCAUAGUGAAUACAACUAAUAUAUAUAUACACACACACACACACACACACACACAUGCGCGCAAGCACGCAAUUGUAUGUUCUGAUUCUUGUCUUUCUCACAACCAACAACGAAUUAUCUUAAAUAACAACCAAUAGGAUAUAAGCUUAUUGCAAGCAGUUAAUAAUCAUCGAUAUACUUCAUCCCCAUUGUGUCAGAGUUUGAAUUUUAUAGGGAUUCUGUAAUUAAGUUCCAGCAUAGAACGAAACUUAAUAUGCGUUUAUGUAUUGUACUGUUUUUGUAACGUCUUCAACACAUUUUUGAUCUCAUGUGGCGGAGCCUAUGCGCGUGCGCAUGCACAAAGCAAAAGUGCACAUGCUAGCACAGGUAACCAUAGCCGAUGGAAGACAGCGAGGCAGAGACGAAGAACUUCACGUCUUCUUGAUCUGGCAGCACAAUUAGGUGUAAAUUCUGCUUUUUGAGGGCUCAGAUGUUGAAACACUACAGUAGAAAAGAACUGAUGGAGAGGGAAUCUGCUGUGAUGGAUACAUUGGAAAGGUGGCCAGCACUCUUUAUGGAAAGUCAGAGUUCACUAUUAUAUCGGGCAAAGACAUACAAACCGAAUUAUUUCAAGAACUGGACCGUUGACAUCUCAGAGCCAAAGGGGGAGACAUUGGCUCUAAACUUAAGAAGAUUCUGCAACAGAAUUUCAACAUUCAACAUUGAAAAAAUAAAUCUGACAUCAUUGGGAGACGAGCAGUUCUUCAUUGCCUUCCACUCCUCCUUGGAGAAAACCCCACUGAUUUUUACAAGACAUGUAUUGACUAUGAUGAUGAAGGCAAUUCAAGCGGCAUAUUGACAUUGACCCCUAAGGACUGUGAAACCAUACCUAACUUGCUGAACCUUGAUGCCACAUCCACUGCCAUCUUUUUGGAAGGUACAAGUCUAAUGGAUGGAAUCUUCCCCAAGCCAUGUGCCUCCUUUUUGGGCUCUUUUAUGCUCUGAAUUUAGAGUACCCUCUAGUAAUGAAGAACAACUUUGAUUUCAUGCAGGGGGUGAUUUUGUCACUCUGGCACAAGUCUCUGAAACUUAAAAUACUAUCUCUGAAAAAUAUUCUAAUGCAGUAACGUCACUUUUCUCAUUUCUACAUUUAAUGUUCUGUGAAAAGUUAAAGAUGUGAAAAAGUUACAUUGAUCUUUUAUCUUUCCAGUGCAAUACUAUGGAAGCAUAUUGGUUGCUAUUUUCAAUUUGAAAUGCAAUACGCAAAAUGGCAAUGCAGUAUGUAAAAUGACAAUGC